rnacentral:rRNA from 1 species
UACAGAGGUCCCGAGCGUUGUUCGGAUUCACUGGGCGUAAAGGGUGCGUAGGUGGCGGGGUAAGUUUGAUGUGAAAGCUCCGAGCUUAACUCGGAAAUUGCAUUGAAUACUAUUUCGCUAGAGGGUUGUAGGGGGGACUGGAAUUCUCGGUGUAGCAGUGAAAUGCGUAGAUAUCGAGAGGAACACCAGUGGCGAAGGCGAGUCCCUGGCCCAUUCUUGACGCUGAGGCGCGAAAGCUAGGGGAGCGAACGGG